rnacentral:rRNA from 1 species
GACGAACGCUGGCGGCGUGCUUUACACAUGCAAGUCGAACGAAGUGGCGAACGGGUGAGUAACGCGUAAUCAACCUGCCCUUCAGAGGGGGACAACAGUUGGAAACGACUGAUAAUACCGCAUAGUGAAGGAGGGGAUUGCGUCUGAUUAGCUAGUUGGUGGGGUAACGGCCAGCCAAGGCGAUGAUCAGGAGCCGGUCUGAGAGGAUGAACGGCAACAUUGGGACUGAGACACGCCCCAGAGUCCUAGGGGAGGCAGCAGUGGAGAAUCUUCCGCACUGGACGAAAGUCUGACGGAGCAACGCCGCGUGAGUGAGGACGGCCUUCGGGUUGUAAAGCUCUGUUAAUCGGGACGCGGUACCGGAAUAGAAAGCCACGGCUAACUACGUGCCAGCAGCCGCGGUAAUAC